rnacentral:rRNA from 1 species
UUCGAAGCAACGCGCAGAACCUUACCAGCCCUUGACAUCCCGGUCGCGGAUCGCAGAGAUGCUUUCCUUCAGUUCGGCUGGACCGGUGACAGGUGCUGCAUGGCUGUCGUCAGCUCGUGUCGUGAGAUGUUGGGUUAAGUCCCGCAACGAGCGCAACCCCCGCCUUCAGUUGCCAACGGUUCGGCCGUGCACUCUGGAGGAACUGCCUGUGACAAGCAGGAGGAAGGUGGGGAUGACGUCAAGUCCUCAUGGCCCUUAUGGGCUGGGCUACACACGUGCUACAAUGGCGGUGACAGAGGGAUGCAAUACCGCGAGGUGGAGCAAAUCCCUAAAAGCCGUCUCAGUUCGGAUUGUUCUCUGCAACUCGAGAGCAUGAAGUUGGAAUCGCUAGUAAUCGCGGAUCAGCUCGCCGCGGUGAAUACGUUCCCGGGCCUU